rnacentral:tRNA from 1 species
GCGCUCGUAGCUCAGCUGGAUAGAGCACCAGCUUGCGGAGCUGGGUGUCGGGGGUUCAAAUCCCUCCGAGCGCG